GGGGGUCGGGGAUUCCCGGUGUGGGCUGAAGGGCUGGGGGUCCAUCCCCCUGGGGACUGAGCGUGACAGCAGCCACAGCAGGCAGAGAGGUGCACCACGUCCUUGAGGAAGAUGAGGCAUUUCUGCAGCUUGAGUCCCUCGAGAGGUGCAGUGGUAGAAUGGUGACAGCGGUGCCCUGCAGGCAGCAGUUGCAGGGCUGCAGGAGGUGCUCACACAGUGCCAGCAGGCGGGCUGAGCCCUGCUCCAUCAGCCUCAGGUUGCUGCACUGGAGGCGCAGGGACCCCAUCACAGCACCGCUGGGUUCGGAGUGUCCACCAGGGAGAAGCUGGCUGGCCCUGCGCCACAGGAAUGUGCGGGAUCUGCACCUUUGGCUGCCCCAGGAGAGACUCAGGAGUGCUGGACUGGGAGGGAUCGCUGCAUCACGGUCCAAAGCUCAGCCACACCUUGCAGUCUCCUUCAGCAAACCCGGAGACGCUGAUUUGAACCUGGACAAUUUUUUUGUCCCACUGCUCGUAUCAGAAGACUGCUCUGCAGUGUCACUGCUCUGACGUUUGGAAAUGUUCUCCUGAUUUGCAGCCUAACUUUAUUCAUGGCCAGAUUGUAUUCAUGGCACUCGUGCCUAGGCUGUCCGCUAGCUCUUUUCCUUCUUGUAUUUAAGCUGAUGUUAUCUGCUUUUGCUUACCAAUUUGCCUGCUGGCUGGAAUUAUGCAUGGAAAAGAAGUUUCCCAUGCCCUCCAUGUGGUUGUUUUAACCUCUCUAAAGGAGCUAAAUAAUUAUUCUUCAUCUAAGGGUGAUUGAGAGCAGGGCUCAUGGUAUAACAGCACCAUUUAUUCGUAAGGGGAUAUUUACACCCUCAGUGUAAAGAAUGCUUUGAAACUGUUUUUUUUUUAAUGGAGAUCCAUUAAAAGUGUUUAUAACGUA